rnacentral:rRNA from 1 species
UACGUAGGGGGCAAGCGUUGUCCGGAAUUAUUGGGCGUAAAGAGCGCGUAGGCGGUCCGGUAAGUCGGUUGUGAAAGUCGGGGGGCUCAACCCUCGGAUGCCGAUCGAUACUGUCGGGCUAGAGUCCGGAAGAGGCGAGUGGAAUUCCUGGUGUAGCGGUGGAAUGCGCAGAUAUCAGGAGGAACACCCAUAGCGAAGGCAGCUUGCUGGGACGUUACUGACGCUAAGGCGCGAAAGCGUGGGGAGCGAACAGG